rnacentral:rRNA from 1 species
UAAUACGGAGGAUCCGAGCGUUAUCCGGAUUUAUUGGGUUUAAAGGGUGCGUACGUGGCCNGUUAANUCNGGGGUGAAAGACNGUANCUCAACUAUCGCACUGCCCUUGACACUGAUGGGCUUGAAUGAACUACANGUANGCGGAAUGUGACAAGUACGGUGAAAUGCAUAGAUAUGUCUCANAACACCCCAUCGCGAAGGCAGCUUACUAUGGUUUUAUUGACACUGACGCACCACAGCGUGGGGGAUCUAACACGGAUUAGAUACCCUGGUACUCCACGCCCUAAACGAUGAAUACUCGAUGUUGCGAUAUCCGGCUGCCUCUAAGCCAAAACGUUUAANUAUUCCCCCUGNGGAGUACCCCUGCCAGGGUGGAAACUCCUNNGUAUCUGACGGGGCCGCCCCAACCGAAGAACUUAUGUUUACUCCAUCAUACCCGAAGAACCUUNCCGGCCUGAACAUUAUUGAUUAAUCANAAACCNUUUCCUUCGGACCCAAACAAGUGCGCC